GAAAUAUGGUACUCAAAAAUGAGCUUCUAACUCAAUUUUUAAGCAGCGAACUUCUGUUUAUAUUUCU
rnacentral:tRNA from 1 species